UUGCUGAAUUCAUAGGCAAUGAAGAGGCAUACCAGGGGAACUGAAACAUCUAAGUACCCUGAGGAAGAGAAAACAAAAGUGAUUCCGUCAGUAGCGGCGAGCGAACGCGGAUUAGCCUAAACCAAGGAGCUUGCUCCUUGGGGUUGUGGGACGUCUCACAUGGAGUUACAAAGGUUCAGAUUAGACGAAGAGGUCUGGAAAGGCCCGCCAAAGAAGGUAAAAGCCCUGUAAUCGAAAAUGUGAACCCUCCGAGACGGAUCCCGAGUAGUGCGGGGCACGUGAAACCCCGUAUGAAUCUGCCAGGACCAUCUGGUAAGGCUAAAUACUCCCUAGCGACCGAUAGUGAAGCAGUACCGUGAGGGAAAGGUGAAAAGCACCCCGGAAGGGGAGUGAAAGAGAACCUGAAACCGUGUGCUUACAAGAAGUCAGAGCCCUGUUUAUGGGUGAUGGCGUGCCUUUUGUAGAAUGAACCGGCGAGUUACGUUUGCAAGCGAGGUUAAGGUGAGAAGCCGGAGCCGCAGCGAAAGCGAGUCUGAAUAGGGCGAAUAAGUUUGUAGGCGUAGACCCGAAACCGUGUGAUCUACCCCUGUCCAGGGUGAAGGUGCGGUAACACGCACUGGAGGCCCGAACCCACGUACGUUGAAAAGUGCGGGGAUGAGGUGGGGGUAGCGGAGAAAUUCCAAUCGAACUC
rnacentral:rRNA from 1 species